CUAAAUAUACAAAUAACUUUAAUUUUGUUAUAAAGUUAUUAAGUUUUAUUGUUAAUGUUUUUCAAACAUGCUUCAAAAUUUGUGAAAUUAUGUUGUUGUUUUUUAUUGUAGCUACUCAGAGGUUUGUGCUUUAACAUUGAAAUUGAUAAUACAUAAAUGAUAAUGUAUACUUCCUGCUAAAAUCGAUGACCACUCUCAUGGCAUAUAUUUCAGUUCCUGACAAAGUGUUUGAGAAGAAGUCUAGUUUGAGAAAUGUUUCAUAGAACACAGUGACGGUAGAAUUUUAUCUUAAGUAAAAGUUGUAGGAGCAAAAGUUGGUGAAAACUCAAGGACCAGUUAAAGCUGUGGUAGAAGUGAGGCUCAGAAUACACUGAGACAACUCCAAGAUGUUCAUCAAAACCAAAUACAAUACGCCUAUACUUUCAAUAUUCAGUUCUUACAAGUGAAGAGGUUUUUUUGGACUGCAAAUCGGUUAUUACUCUCUGAAAACCAGACUACAGCCAUGAGGUCUGCUGUCUUGAAGACAAGACGUGCAGAUCUUAAUGACUUUGUUAUUAGUCUUUACUACAAAACGAAAUAGUAUAAAUACACGCCAUAAGUUGUGCCAAAGUUACAUGAAUGUCUUCAAGGAAAAUUCACCAAAUUACUUCACACUACACUUGGUGAAACCUACCCAGUCAAAAGUCUUGAGGUAGUUGUCCCUUGUGCUCCACAAUAUGCAAAAGUUAAAUUUCUUGGUUUAACCUUUACAUAAGAAUUCACUAUAAUCCAACAGUGCCAUGCUACAUUUGAGCUUAUAGAAACAUAAGCUCUCACAGACAACAUUGCAGUCAGAGUACUUGAUAGCACAGCGAUCAACAUAGUCAUCAAUAUGGGUGCAGGCAAGUAGAUAAAAGUGUUCUACUUCAAUUGUUGUCAUCACAUAAUUGGAGUUGUGUGGCAGGCUCUUUUGGGCGAAGUUAAUAGUCCUGACAAUCUAAUGUUCAGCAAUUUGAAUGAAAUGUGAGAAAAAUUGGAAAAGGACUGCUACAUGUACUCGAUCAAGUUGAUAAAGACAUGAAACAAGAUGAAAGCGCCAUUGCAACAUAAGAAAUUUUCUUGAAUAAACAAGUUCAUGGGCAUAAUACAGAGAGGUGGCUGAGCUCAGUGUAAUCCUGCUUGGUGAGGAAAAUCCUCAAGGCUAUGCCAAGUGCAAUUUAACAAGACCUUGGAUAGUCAAGUACAUAAACUGCAAUAAGAUUCUCAUGUUUUCCAAAGAACUUCAAGCAGAAAAGGAUGAACAAGUUCUUCGCCUCAUUUUUCACCAGUGACUGUAGAACAUGGUACAAUAUAAGUAGUAUGAUUAUGAAUGGACAACCUUUGUUCUCAAGAAAAUGAACAAACACCGCUGAUAUCUGAUCGAGAAACUGGUGCCGUUAUUCUUAUUAAGUUCACAUGACACAAUGAGGAGAAUCUCGAAGUGAAUCUAUAACAAAUAUAUGGACAUAAGAGUUACAGAAAAGUCAACCCAGUUUUUCUUGUCAUAAACACUACUACGGGUCUCAUAGAGUCUCACAUUCUGUUUGAUACUCUUAUACUAAAAUGUGACAGGUUCAGUACUCCUGCUGACACCUGCAGCAGAAAUCAAAAUUAUUUGAAUAUUUAGUUGGAUUAGAACUUGAAAAAUGGGAAUAAUAUCGGCGCAUGGAUAUGUUUAAUGAAAACAUUUAAAUUUUAAGAGGUUUCAAUGUUGAUUCAAGAUAAAAAUUCACAACUUUUAUCAUGGGGUUCAAUCUUAUUGACAUAUUAUAUUGAGAGAUUGUACUAUUGCCUCACACCCGAUGUACACAUGGGUUAUGCUGAGAACAGAUUUUAUAAAGAAUCACUUGGUGGAAUUAUCUCCAUCUUUAGCGGCAGCACAUAGGAUUAUUUGGAAAGCUUGUGGAACCAAAGCAGUUAGAAUGGUUAGUCUUAUCGAGGGGCAUUAUCUCCUUUCACGAUUUGAGCAAUGACUCAAUUUUCAACUGUGGGAAAUUUUUUUAUCCACUAAAGAGAGCUGCAGACUAUCACAUGAUUCCCAUUCCAUGGCAUUUGAGAAUGUCUUUUGCAUUCAAUUAUAAGGAGGAAGCUGACAAAAUUUGCGACAAGUUUUAAAAAAUAUUGGGCCUGCCCAUGUCGUGGAAGAAGAGAAUCAUGGGUUCAAUUUUAAAAGUGAAAGAGGGAAAGCGAUUCCCUUCGCAACUUCAAAUAUCGUCAGGAUGUAUAUUCUUUAAUGCUCCUUACAGGGACUGUGUAAAAUUGUUUAAUACAUUUAUUCAUGUUUUUGCUGACUGUCCUUCACUACAUAAACUGAAAAAAUUCCUAUUACUUAACAUAGCAGGAAUAAGUGAUAAAUUCGUGACUGUUAUUCUUUUAUUCGGGCUCACUUCAAAUAUGUCCACUGCUCCUACAAAAACUCGUGCCAUAGAGUUGGUUCUCUCGAGCUGUAUAAGUAGGAUAGCAGAGCAGCUGACAGAAGGCGUCCCUAUCCAAAAUGAAAAAUUUAGAGCUAUUUCUAUUUCAACUGCUGCAAGAUACUCUCCGGAUCCUUCCAAUCUAACGUGGAAGUACACGGGGGAUUUGAUACGCUACUACCCAUAUGGUUCGAAAGACAAUAUGAAGUUUUUCGCCUUCUAAUACACAUCCACAGACGGCUUUAACAAGUUUAGUGCAUUCAAUGCUUAAUUGUUGUCUUUUUGUCUCCAUCCUACAUUUUUUUUUUUUGUAUGAUUUUGAUAAGUUUUUUUAAUUUGUUUUCUACCUGAUCAUUUUACUAAUUUUAUGGAACAUUUUUAUGAAAUGCGAUAAACUACUACAAAGUAUUUUAAUUAUCGUUUGACCUUACCAUGCUAAUUAACUGUUGUAAUGACUUGAGUUUAGGGUUUUAAAUGUAAAC
rnacentral:lncRNA from 1 species